rnacentral:rRNA from 2 species
CUGCAGGACACAUUUGAACAUCGACAUUUCGAACGCACAUUGCGGUCCGUGGAGAAACAUCCAGGACCACUCCUGUCUGAGGGCCG